CCUACGGGAGGCAGCAGUGGGGAAUAUUGGGCAAUGGAGGAAACUCUGACCCAGCAACGCCGCGUGAAUGAUGAAGGUCUUCGGAUUGUAAAGUUCUUUUCUAAGGGAAGAAGAAAGUGACGGUACCUUAGGAAUAAGCCUCGGCUAACUACGGGCCAGCAGCCGCGGUAAUACGUAGGAGGCAAGCGUUAUCCGGAAUGACUGGGCGUAAAGGGUGCGUAGGUGGUUUGACAAGUUGGUAGCGUAACUCCGAGGCUUAACCUCGGCACUACUACCAAAACUGUUGGCCUCGAGUGCAGGAGGGGCAAAUGGAAGUCCUAGUGUAGCGGUGGAAUGCGGAGAUAUUAGGAGGAACACCAGUGGCGAAGGCGAUUUGCUGGACUGUAACUGACACUGAGGCACGAAAGCGUGGGGAGCAAACAGGAUUAGAUACCCCAGUAGUC
rnacentral:rRNA from 1 species